UCCCAGGGCAGAGCAUGAAGAAGAAAGU
rnacentral:piRNA from 1 species